CUUCCCUCGUGCUCCCCUGGCCACUUUCCAGCUUAAAGCCCUUAUAGCCACUAAGUACUCAGGGCUACAAACUUGGGGCCAGCAGGGCUCAGGACUGGACUGUCUCCUUGAGACCCAGCUAGGUGCCUGGUAUAUUGUAAGGUCCUAAAAUAAAGAAGAUGAGGCCGGGCGCGGUGGCUCAUGCCUGUAAUCCCAGCACUUUUGAGGUCGAGGCAGGUGGAUCACAAGGUCAGGAGAUCGAGACCAUCCUGGCUAACACAGUGAAACCCCAUCUCUACUAAAAAUAUAAAAAAUUAGCCAGGCGUGGUGGCGGGCGCCUGUAGUCCCAGCUGCUCGGGAGGCUGAGGCAGGAGAAUGGUGUGAACCCGGGAGGCGGAGCUUACAGUGAGCCGAGAUCACGCCACUGCACUCCAGCCUGCGCGACAGAGCAAAACUCUGUCUCAAAAUGAAUAAAUAAAUAAAA
rnacentral:lncRNA from 1 species